AGAGGGAAGUUUAACCGGGAAGCUUACAUCUUUCAUAG
rnacentral:rRNA from 1 species